rnacentral:rRNA from 1 species
UACGGAGGAUCCAAGCGUUAUCCGGAAUCAUUGGGUUUAAAGGGUCCGUAGGUGGAUAAUUAAGUCAGGGGUGAAAGUCUGCAGCUCAACUGUAGAAUUGCCUUUGUUACUGGUUAUCUUGAAUUAUUGUGAAGUGGUUAGAAUAUGUAGUGUAGCGGUGAAAUGCAUAGAUAUUACAUAGAAUACCAAUUGCGAAGGCAGAUCACUAACAAUCAAUUGACACUGAUGGACGAAAGCGUGGGUAGCGAACAGG